GAUAAAAAUGCGAAAUAACCACCAUAACAGUGUAGAAUAUUGAAGAGAUAGUUAACCCAAAAAUGAAAAUUCUGUCAUUAAUUACUCCAAGCCCAUAAGACCUUCGUUCAUCUUCAGAAGACAAAUUAAGAUAUUUUUGAUGAAAUCCGAAAGCUUUCUAAUCCUGCAUAGAUAGCAACGUAACUGAAAUGUUCCCAGGCCCAGAAACGUAGUAAGGACAUCUGUAAAACAGUUCAUGUGACAUCAGUGGUUUAAUCGUAAUUUAACAAAGCUAUGUGAAUACUUUUUGUGCACAAAGAAAACAAAAAUGACUUUAUUCAACAGUUCUUCUCCUACAGGUCACGUCUUGCACCAUUACCAAGUUGAGCAAAGGUCUUACAGGUUUGGAACAACAUGAGGGUAAUUAAUGUAAUUAUUGACAGAAUUUUCAUUUUUAGGUGAACUAUCCCUUUAAGAUUUGACACAUUUUAAAAAAAAGGUAAUAGGCAGUUUACGGUAGAAUUACAUUACAUAAUCUCCGAACAUAGACGCUCCCCAGCCAGCUUCGUUUUGGAAACUUGUUUUGGAGCAAGUGAAGUCUUUCUUUUUUUAUAGAUCCAGGGAUCUGUUUACUCAGGCUGUCGCCCGUCUAUCUGCCUGUAUUUCUGUGCGAUUCUGUUCUAGCUUUUGGAAGUCAUUGGAGGCGCGGGCCUCUUUGUUGUUUUGAACUCAAAGGACCCUCCUGAGUCUGCAGGCCUGGGAAACAGAUCCGGUCCCACACACAAAGGAAACUUUGAUUCAGGGGUUUGGAUGGUCAUGUGACAGGUCAGGUGUUGGAGUAUGAAGUAUGAAUGUUUGGGACAGCAAACAGCACCCCAUCUCUAUCAAAAGGCCAAGGACAAGAUAUCUCUAAUAUGGCUGCACAAGUGCAAACCCUCUUUAUGGAUUUCUUUGGAGAUUGGAAGACAAGUGCACCCAGAUGGAAGUUAGAAUCCAUUAUGGCAGCGCUCAUCGGUUAAUCAGGAAAAAGGAGGAUAGAGAGAAUACAUUUUUUACAGGUUUGUAAAUCUUAAUAUUUUAAUUAAAUGCAUGAUUGAAUGCCUGUUUUCUGAUUUUGAGGUGGAAUGGUGUUUGUAAGAGUUUGUGGCUUGGAAAAGGUCACUUAUAUUUCUGAAGGGAGUUCAGGACAAACCUAUCAUGCAGUUUAAUAAACCCCAGGCCUUUGAGAACCACAGUGCUCAAUUCCUGGACUGCGUUUACCUUGCCGAUAUUCCAGACAUCAAUAACAUUCUUACAGGGGACAUGAUAAAAAGCAACAAUAUUGAUGGAUUCUCUCUUGUUGUAAAAUGACUACUGCCAGAGUGACUGGAGCAGUAUUAAAUAAUGCAUGCUCUCAUUCUCUCUCUCUCUCUUUUUUCUUUCUCUUUCUCUCUUUAAUAAUAGUUGUGACUAAAAGUCACACACAGAAGGUCAAUAAUGACUCUGAGUUGGAUUGCGUUUGCUCUCAUCUGAGAUGCGUUUGGCACCUUUGAUCUUUGCAGAUGACCUUAGUGGACCGAAAAACAAUUAUCUCAGCUGAAUCUGUCUCUCGGUGCAUGAAAUGGCUGCUUGAUAUUGGCUGCGAGAGGGACAGAGGCACAUGAAACACUUGUAUGUUUCUUUAAAGAAGCCUUUUUUAGAAAACUUUUGAUAUUUUUAAUGAUGCCCAUGAAAAAUACAGUUGCUUAUUGUAAAGUAGAAGUGAAAACGACAGUAAAAGCAAGCACCACUAUUAAAAUUUUCCAUCAUCCAUCUCUUAUGUAAGUUUUUUUCUAUACAUACUGUUGCUUUUUUGCUAAGACAGGCCACACUUCAGUGCCCCACCAUCUGUUUGUUAUAUAUGUGUAAAUAAAUAAAUUUGUAUUCAUUAAUAUGGAUAGGAUGAAUCUCACGCCUCACCUGCUGCAUUGUCUCAGAGGCUGCAGCUCGUCCCACAUGCUUUCCUCUGAUAAGAUCUGAUCUGUUAUCUGAAAUAUUAUUUACCUGCUUGAGUGAACCUAACAGACACAAACAAAAUCCAUCAUUAUUUUUGAUGGUGUUUCAAUUUUUCACCAUCAUGAUAGUCUGCCAGGCAAAAAUUGCAAGUUCAAUCAGUUCAAACAGUAACAGUACACCUCUCUUCAACAACAUAAAAGCAAUAAACAAGCAAUCGCAAUAUUCAUUGUAUGAAAGAUGACAAAUUAUGACUGUCAGUUGUGGCUUAAUUUACAUAAAUGUUAGUAUACUUGGUUGCCAAGGUGACAAGUGUGAGUAAAGAGCCUGCUCUUACGAUACGAUUGGAAGACAAUGUGCAAUUAAAAGGUAUCACAGCAUUGUUAAAUUUUAUAAUUUUUUAAUGUUUUUAUUUUAGUCAAAUUGUUCAAUUUUUUUUUAACAUUUAUGUAAUUAUUUAUUUAUGUAUUUAUUUAAUUUUUUAAUAAUUUUUUAGCAGAUAUAUUUGUGGCAUUUAAUAUGGUUCAGAGGACAGUCUAGCCGAGAGCAGAAUAAAACAUUGAGCUGACGGGAAUCUUAAUGAAGACUAACUCAUGUCAUCUAGUGCCCUUGAUCAAGGUGACUUCAAGCGUAGCCUCUCUCAGGCUCUCAUCACAGUCCUCAGAGGUUUAUAAGCCUUGCUCAGUAUAAAGUGUUGCAGUCUUGUGUUAAUGAAUGUCAUCUCUUCUUUCACCUCGUACCUUUCUAAACAGCUCUUGGUACUGCAUGUUCAGCCAUUCACAUGCUGUGUGAUGUUUCUUUCAGCAGAUCUGAAUGCUGCCAGUUUCAGGCUAUAUUUAUGACUGACGCACUUGUUUGGACAGAUGUGUUGUUUGCUGCUGUCUGAGGAGACUAUAUUAGACUAAAAGGUGCUUGUGCUUUAUUAGCCUUAUUAGGAUUGAUUGAUUCUGUCAGGAUUAGAGGCUAGAGGACAGAGGGGUGAGCCGAGAGACACAGACUCUUGCUGCUUUUUACUAAUCUCCA